AAAAUUAAUUUUUCAGUCCCAAGAAAUAUAUAAAAUGUACUCCUGAUAAAUUCUCAAAUGAAUGGCAUACAAUGAGUGUUGCAGUAACUGAUGCUGAAGGUGUUUGUCGCUAUGACUUAGAUGAUUUAGAUGUACAGUGGCUCAAAAUAUUAAAUGAAGAAAGAGAAAACUGUGGUCUUUAUCCAGUAGAUGAAGCAACAAUAGAGUUAAUUAUAGAAAAAUUAGAAAUUGAUAGUUUUGAUAAUCUUCAAAAUGCCAAAA